CCCACCCCCUCCUCACCCCCCCUGAGAAGACCCCAUGGCUGAGGGCAAAGCCACCCAGGACCCCGCAGAUGUGGUCACCCUGCAGCCACCCCAGCAGGGCGCUGCGGGCUCCAUCCUGAGGGGUCCGGGGAUCCCCGAGGACACUGGCACCAGCAUCUCCUUGGUCAUGGCCACCAUCCUCCGCAGCCUGCUGGGCCCCACGGUGGG